ensembl:lncRNA
UUGAAAUAUUUAAAUAUAUUGACUGACUUUGACUGUGUUCACAUAUCCAUUGAAACUUCAUGCUUUGUCAUGUUCUGGUGAUUUUUACCACCUGCACGAAGUGAUGGAAGCUAAUACUUCCAUUCAGUGAUGAGGAGGCAUAAGAAAGCAUUAUUCACAAGUAGCUAUUGAUGUAUUCAGAUGUGCUUAACUGCUCAGAUUCUUGUUGUAAUUAAAUGGAACUCCCACAAGGGGGAGCAAGCGAACACGUCUCAAAGCCCUGUCUAGGCAACUUUCCAACUGAAGGUACACUCGAUUCCAGAGGGAACUGCUCAGUAUUCCCCCAGCCCCCCACCCCGGAGAAUCAUUUGCAGCCUGCAUUUUACUGUGGGAAGUUUCUUUCAGAUUUAUUUUCUCUCUGUGUUUUUUUUUUUUUUCCCAGCUGCUUUUUUUAGUUGUAAAUCCAUGCUUCGGUUGAGCAGCAAAGCAACUGCUUUGCUGGAGUUCCCAGCACACUCCAGCAGGGAAGUGUUUUCCUGCAAGCUUUCUAAAACCUUGCAGAGUCAACAGAACCUUCCCCAGCGCGUUGCCAAAGGUUUUCACAAGCUCAGCAUCAAAUACAGGGCUUCCAUACCAGAGGCCACCUGCUCCAACAGAACAGCAGUCCUUUAUGAAUUAGACAUUCAACCACAUUCUUCAACGCUAAAGUGCCCUGCUUCCAUCUCUGCAAAAUGAACCUAGCACUUUCGACAAGGUAUUACUGUCUCCCAGAAGAUAUAUAUCUCAUACUGGCUUUGUCAAUGGAACUUCUGAUCAUUCUUUCUAAAGAAUUACAUUCUAAAGGCCUGAAGUCAAAUGAAGAGAUGCCCACCUUCAGAUAUGCCUUCUGCUUAUAGUGCUUGUAUAGCAAAUACAUGGUUAUUACCUGUAUAUUCAUGAUCCUGUGUAUCAUCUGUGACUGUCAUCUUAGUACAGUUUCAGUCAUUACCUGUAUAUUCAUGAUCCUGUGUAUCAUCUGUGACUAUCCUCUUAGUACAGUUUCAGUCAUUUUAUCGUGUUCUCUUUAUCACUGCUGUCCAUUUUCACUGGGUGUUGAAGUUUUAAAGCAUGUCUUUCUGUCCCAGCUCCUGAACUCUUUGUUUCCAGCUGGCGUCUUCCUGGACAAGCAGUUCUAGGUUUUCCUGAAGCUACGUGUUCACAUGAAUAUCAUUAAAUGUCUCCCUCCUCCUUCUGAUGCUUUGCAGUCUUUAGAGAUGACUUUCAGGUGUUUUUUUGAAGUCAGUCAGUUUGAACUGGAGCAAUUUUGCUGGUUCUUUGACCAAACUUGACUGUCCUUCAAGAUAAGUCACCGUUAGUCCAUGAAGUAAAAUUUUAUAGGACUGGCUUUUUAUAGGAUUGGCUUUUCUGUUCUCAGCCAAGAAGGUUUACUCUAUCCCCCAGUGAAAAGUUGGACCUGUUCAAUAUUAGCAUUAAAUUUUGCCAAAUAGAGGGUUUGUGGCAUCAGAGGACUGGCCUCCACUGCAGAUGGCUCAAGGGCAUUAAAGGUGUAUGUAAUGAAUUUUUUCCUCCUAUUGACUUUAAGAUACUCUACCCUUCAGGAAGCAAAUCCUUUGGCUAGGUCAUUGCCCCUCAAAGUAUGUCAACUUUUUAAUGUGCAAGUAAUCAAAGCAAGGUAAAAUAAAAUUUUCAAAGGAAACUCAGAGAUUUGACCCUUGUGUCCAUAAUUCAGACAGUAUCAUUGAAGUACCAUGCAGCUGAUGCAGGAGUAGUUGGAAAGACAUUUUUAUAGCUACAAACAGGCCCUCUUUGGUUCCAAAGGACACUGAAACUGCCUCUAGCCAGUAGCAUCAGGGUUACAGCUCCCUGUCCAAAAUCCUGUUUGUAUUCUACUUUAAAACCACUCAGAGCCUGACAACCAGGACAGACCAUCAGUAAGUAUGGGGGAG